rnacentral:rRNA from 1 species
AAGUCGACGAUCAGUAGCCGGACUGAGAGGUUGAACGGCCACAUUGGGACUGAGAUACGGCCCAGACUCCUACGGGAGGCAGCAGUCGGGAAUUUUGCGCAAUGGAGGAAACUCUGACGCAGUGACGCCGCGUAUAGGAAGAAGGUUUUCGGAUUGUAAACUAUUGUCGUUAGGGAAGAGAAAGGACAGUACCUAAGGAGGAAGCUCCGGCUAACUACGUGCCAGCAGCCGCGGUAAUACGUAGGGAGCGAGCGUUAUCCGGAAUUAUUGGGUGUAAAGGGUGCGUAGACGGGAAGAUAAGUUAGUUGUGAAAUCCCUCGGCUUAACUGAGGAACUGCAACUAAAACUGUUUUUCUUGAGUGCAGGAGAGGUAAGUGGAAUUCCUAGUGUAGCGGUGAAAUGCGUAGAUAUUAGGAGGAACACCAGUGGCGAAGGCGACUUACUGGACUGUAACUGACGUUGAGGCACGAAAGUGUGGGGAGCAAACAGGAUUAGAUACCCUGGUAGUCCACACCGUAAACGAUGAUUACUAGGUGUGGGGGGACUGACCCCUUCCGUGCCGGAGUUAACACAAUAAGUAAUCCACCUGGGGAGUACGGCCGCAAGGUUGAAACUCAAAGGAAUUGACGGGGGCCCGCACAAGCAGUGGAGUAUGUGGUUUAAUUCGAAGCAACGCGAAGAACCUUACCAGGGCUUGACAUAUACAGGAAUACUUAAGAGAUUAAGUAGCUCUUCGGAGUCUGUAUACAGGUGGUGCAUGGUUGUCGUCAGCUCGUGCCGUGAGGUGUUGGGUUAAGUCCCGCAACGAGCGCAACCC